AUAUAAAGUACGAAGGCUAAUUACGCAAUGUCCUGUUGCAAAUCCUUCACUAGCAUAUCCUAUGCG
rnacentral:sRNA from 1 species